rnacentral:misc_RNA from 1 species
GAUGAAGAACGUAGCGAAAUGCGAUAAGUAACGUGAAUUGCAGAAUUCAGUGAAUCAUCGAAUCUUUGAACGCACAUUGCGCCCCCUGGUAUUCCGGGGGGCAUGCCUGUUCGAGCGUCAUUUCACCACUCAAGCCUCGCUUGGUAUUGGGCAACGCGGUCCGCCGCGUGCCUCAAAUCGACCGGCUGGGUCUUCUGUCCCCUAAGCGUUGUGGAAACUAUUCGCUAAAGGGUGCUCGGGAGGCUACGCCGUAAAACAAACCCAUUUCUAAGGUUGACCUCGGAUCAGGUAGGGAUACCCGCUGAACUUAAGCAUAUCAAUAAGCGGAGGA